AUUGAACGCUGGCGGCAGGCCUAACACAUGCAAGUCGAGCGAGCGGCGCACGGGUGAGUAAUGUAUGGGGACUGCCCCAUAGGGGGGGAUAAAUACUGGAAACGGUAGCUCAAACCGCACACUACAUGAUAACCCAGAUGGGAUUAGCUCGUAGGGGAGGUAAUGGCUCACCCAGGCGACGAUCCCUAGAUGGUCUGAGAGGAUGAUCAGCCACACUGGGACUGAGACACGGCCCAGACUCCUACGGAGGCAGCAGUGGGGAAUAUUGCACAAUGGGCGCAAGCCUGAUGCAGCCAUGCCGCGUGUAUGAAGAAGGCCUUAGGGUUGUAAAGUACUUUCAGUGGGGAGGCGUUACCGACAGAAGAAGCACCGGCUAACUCCGUGCCAGCAGCCGCGGUAAUAC
rnacentral:rRNA from 1 species